rnacentral:rRNA from 1 species
UACGAAGGGGGCUAGCGUUGCUCGGAAUCACUGGGCGUAAAGCGCACGUAGGCGGAUUGCUAAGUCAGGGGUGAAAUCCCAAGGCUCAACCUUGGAACUGCCUUUGAUACUGGGGAUCUCGAGUCCGGAAGAGGUUGGUGGAACUCCGAGUGUAGAGGUGAAAUGCGCAGAUAUCAGGAGGAACACCAAUUGCGAAGGCAGCUCGCUGGGACGUUACUGACGCUGAGACGCGAAAGCGUGGGGAGCAAACAGG